rnacentral:rRNA from 1 species
CCCUGUGACUACAUGUUUAACGGCCGCGGUAUUUUGACCGUGCGAAGGUUAGCGCAAUCACUUGUCUUUUAAAUGGAGACCUGUAUGAAUGGCAUCACGAGGGCUUAACUGUCUCCUUUUCCAGGUCAAUGAAAUUGAUCUCCCCGUGCAGAAGCGGGGAUACCUCCAUAAGACGAGAAGACCCUAUGGAGCUUUAGACACUAAAGCAGCUCAUGUUAAAGCUCUAGAACAACAGAUUAAACUGAGUGACGCCUGUCCUAAUGUCUUCGGUUGGGGCGACCAUGGGGCAGCAAAAAACCCCCACGUGGAACGGAAGCACUGACUUCCAGAACCAAGAGCUCCCGCUCUAAGUAACAAAACAUUUGACCUUUAAGACCCGGCAAAGCCGAGCAACGGACCAAGUUACCCUAGGGAUAACAGCGCAAUCCUCUUCAAGAGACCCUAUCGACAAGAGGGUUUACGACCUCGAUGUUGGAUCAGGACAUCCUAAUGGUGCAGCC